GGGGGUGAACGGUCUCGACUUUGGAUGUUGAGACAGGGGAAGCGGGCCGAGGAAGCCGGAAUGAUCUCGUAAACCAAUAAUCCGUGCAAAAAUAACUGCUGACAACA
rnacentral:tmRNA from 1 species